UUUGCCGCGGAAACUGCUUUACGUAGUUGCUGCUAGUAUCUGCACCGUUGUCUAGUAAGGGGUAUGGGAUACACAGAUAUGACGGUGAUUUCAUAAGCCUACUUUUGUUUUUUGAAAUAGAGAAGUACGCCAACAUAUGAAAGUAGGCUUGUGAGAUCACCUUGCUGUCUACAUAUCUCCUUGUUGCUAGGCUUCGGGUCAGUAAACAGGUUACCACGACAACAACUACACAUGCAACAGUAGAAGGAUAUUUUCACGCCUCAUUUUCUAUGCGGCCCAUGUCGUAUCAAAGGAAAUAAUGCUAUUAGUUCUUCCCAGAACUAAUUUUAUCACCAUAAGCAAUAUCUCGGAAUACAUUAUCGGGAUUAUGUAAUAAAUUGUUCUGUCCUCCAACACCAACUGCAGUAGUUUGUGUACUACCAUCUAACGGUCAGAAUGAGAACUAUGAAACUGUGUGCUAGGUUAUUUGUACUAGAGUUGAAAGUCGCAAUAAAAUUCUGAUGCAGGGUUACCAUGCAUAACUACAAUCUGUAUAUGCGGAGCAGAACUUGUGCAGGAUCCACGACGGUGUGUCUGUUUUAAUUCAUGGUUCAAUGGCUUUAUUACGUGUUGUUUAAUCCAAGGAAGAAAUUAAGUGUGCGUUCAUUUUAUCAACAUAACCCCAAAAGUUAGCACGUGCACCAUGUUUACUGAGGAAUAAUUUCGAGGUUUUGAGACAGUGUAUUCCACUUUUACAGGGCUGUGUUAUGGACGGGAAAAGUAAUAUCCUGCAACAUUGAUUCUGCUAGACUGCUGCAAAAGAAAUAUUUGUGCAGCAGACAUUUCUUGGAAAGUAAUUUCACUACACGAGAAAGAUUACACGGUUCCGGGUGGCUCCGAUUCUGCUUCGCAAUCAUUCCCACAUCCUCCUGUCUCUUCAUUGAAUCCUUUGCCCUCAGUUAUAAAUCACAAAGACAAUAUUCACGAUGUAUUUCUCACCUCCUGAAGAACACACUGAUGCCGUCCCCUGUAACACAUAUUCCUAUCCAUGCACAUGGUGUGGUGACAGGUCUCACAAGAAUUUACAUUCCUUGGUGGUGUAAGCAAGCAAACAGGUUGAAGAGUGAAACGGUCAGGCACAGAGAGGAAGAUGCAAAUCGUGGCAUAUCAGUAAGUCAUUAGGAAAGUAACACUUCUUCAUUUUUGCCUUGGAACGUCCUGCCCAUACCUACUCAUGGAGCAGUUAUUGAACUAAUGGAAGAAUAUCUGUGGCAGUUGCCCAUGUGAGCAUCAUCAGAUAAUUCAUAAGUUUGGGAAAGCAACCCUUGUGACAAGCAGCUGGAGUGCAAAAACAGAAAGUAACAUAUAUUUAGGUACUCAGUACUGUGUUGAUUACAUCAUGAUCAUCUGCAGUCAGAGAUUGUGUACAAGAAACUAGUUCUGAACUUUUGCUCCAUCUCUUCACUGCUUUGCAGACACGUGUUUUUCAUCUCUGUAUGUUAGAACAUAACUUCCAGACGAUGGUCAGAGUUCAUUCUGUGCUUUAUCUUGAAGUGAUUAUAUUUCUAUUUAGAAUUGUAUGGGAAAUUGUUUCCUAACUCACAUGGUGUAGUUACUGCUUGUCCGCCACUAACUUGUGUGUCAUUCAACUGUACUCCGGAAUACUAUUGUGUAAUGGAACGAGUUCUGUGCAAGGAGAAAUGUCCAUUAAAAUGUAGAUGUAUUAAAGGUCAUUGGGUAGCCUGGGAAAUCCAUGCUGCUGGUCAGGUUGAGCCUGUUUGAUGGUAGGCCCAGUGCAGGCCGCGACCCAAAAUUGAUACUACCCAGUCUUUGGUUAAAAUUAAUUUAAAAUAAUUCAAUCUAUGCAUUACUUUCCAAUUUCUCUGUUUUGUGGUUAUAUGGUAUUAUGCAUGAAGUGAUAUUUGGUAUUAUAAGAUAUAUCACCAUGCCAGGGCAGUAUAUAAGAGGUUUUAGAUACGUUUACCUUCUGAACCUGAUUUCAAGCAAUCAUAAUUCAAUGUUCACUUCUUGUAAUGAACCAAGUUUCAUGUGUGAGCUGAAGUGCAAUGUUAUUGUUUCCAAUGUUUAUGAAGUUCAUUAAAUGUGAUAAACAAUUUUAUUAUGUAGGAUCUGAGGUUCUCACAACAGUGGUUAUGAAGAGUCCCGUCUUCUGGGAUGUAAUAUAGUAGUCCACUGAAAGCCUGCCCAACUUUUGGAGGCACAUGUUGCCUCCAUCUUCAGGAUCAAAGAAUAUGCCAAGAAAGAAACCAGCCUGAAGUAGGCAGCGAGCAAAAUGUAGGCUGACACUACAGACUGCACAGAACUAUAUCCCAGGGAACGGAACUCUUCUGAACAAUUUUAUUACUUCAGUGCCCUUUAAGCAACAGCUGGAAUGCAUAUUUCACUAGAAUGGCAUAAUUAUGAUAAAUUACAUUCCAUCCUUGUAAAAGUAAAUACUAAUACACAUCUUUAAUUUUAAACUGAACAACCCACACAAUCCAGACAGAAACCAAGCAAAAAACCACCAGACGACAUACCAAGCCUGGUGGCACAAUACUGAUGCAGUCCAACAAAAAAACGAUAUAUUUAACAUUGCCCAAGACAUGAAGCAAUCUCCAGGAGGUCAAGGACAGCACUGGUCUUAAAGCCCCGAGAUGCCAUUCGAAUGUGGGUGUAUUUCUCUCAAUUGUUGGGCUAUCUCCAAACUACAAAGCAUCUCAACUCCCUCCCUCAGACUAUACUCUUCAAAUACAUAAUAUUGUGUAAAAUUUUCAAUAUUUGGCACUUCAUCAAACCUGUUUCCCUCCUCCCUUGAUGAAGCAUAGACAACAAAGCCAAACCACAAAAAGGCCCAGAAAUAAGCAUAAGUGAUGGGCCUGAUCUGUAUCAAAGUAU